rnacentral:ribozyme from 12 species
GGAAGAAGAAGCGGAAGAAGAAGAAGAAGAAACGGAGAUUUUGGGUUUAUCGACUCGUUUCGUCAUUCUAGUUUCGGUUUCAAUAUUUUCACUUUCACCGCUAUUUACGUCUCCUUGCUCUUUC